ACCAAACGAACCUAAAGUAAAUUUAACCCUUUUACUUACAUAAAACAAAGGAUAAAAAAAAAUCUCUUGUAUUUAUUUAGGGUAUAAAACUCCCAAUUUUCAGCAAAAUUAUGUCUUAAGUCUCUUUGAUUUUCUCUCGACUGAAUUCAACCAAAAAUGGAUGAAGAACUGCUUGAAUUACAAAGGCAAUUUGAAUUUGCCCAACAAGUGAAAUCCACAGUUCGAUUAUCAGAGAGAAACGUUGUUGAAUUGGUUCAGAAACUUCAUCAACUACAAAUCAUUGACUUUGAUCUGCUCCAUACUAUUUCUGGCAAAGAAUACAUUACCCCGGAGCAAUUGAGAAAUGAAACUGUGGCAGAGAUCAACAAACUAGGACGUGUUUCCUUGAUUGAUUUAGCUGAUUCUACGGGAGUAGACUUGUACCAUGUUGAGAAACAAGCUCAGUAUGUAGUUUCCAGUGACUCAUCACUCAUGUUAAUUAAUGGUGAAAUUGUCUCGAAUACUUAUUGGGAUACAGCUGCUGAAGAAAUCAAUGAAAGACUUCAAGAAUGUAGCCAAAUUGCCAUUGCUGAAAUAGCAGGACAACUACAAGUUGGGUCAGAAUUAGUAGUCUCCAUUCUUGAACCUCGUCUCGGCACUUUGGUAAAAGGUAGGCUUGAAGGUGGGCAGUUGUAUACACCCGCCUAUGUUGCUCGUGUAAGUGCAAUGGUCCGUGGUGCAGCUAGGGGUAUUUUCGUUCCAAUGAACACGUCAGCGUUAUGGAACUCCUUGCAGAGUUUACUGCAAGAGAUGGACGGAGCUGUUGGUGUUGCUGUUGACGCUUCAUUUUUCCAGUCCUUGUUUAAUGGCUUAGUAAAAGAAGGCGAGAUUCUUGGCUCUCUUCGUGCAGGAGUUCAUUGGACACCUUCCGUCUUUGCCACGGCUCAAAAGGACUGUAUAGAUUCCUUCUUUUCGCAGAAUUCUUUUAUUACUUAUCAAGCUCUGCAAAAACUUGGGAUCCCACAACCUUCUCAGUACCUGCAGUCCAGAUAUCCAGAAGGUAUAUCUCUGGACUCAACGUUUGCUCACCCUUCAAUAAUUGAGAUGCUGGAUGCCGCUGUUGAGGAUGCCAUAGAACGUAAUAGCUGGAUUGAUGCGCUUUCAGUUUUACCCACUUCCUUUGGUAGCCAAGACGCAUUUAAGAUUCUGUCACUAUGUCCAUCGGUUCAAACAGCACAAAAGUCAAAUAGAGCACUUAACUUGGGAGAUUCGUAUAUUUUUAGCAGUGGGUUUGUCAAGGAUCUGUUUGAUCGGAUGGAAAAGGAGAUGGAAACAUUAAACAUUCCAGGUCUUGUUGGUGCUGGUCCUGUAGAUGAGUUUCGUGUUGCUAAAGAUGCUAAAGUUGGAAAUGAUAAUAGUACCGGUGAAGUAAAUGAAACAAGCAGUGAUGCCGGUAUCAGCAAACAGACCUCGGAGAAAGGAUCUAAAAAGAAAAAAGGAAAAUCAGGUGGGAAUACUAAGAUGGCGCAAGCUGAAACUGGUGCAGAUAACCAGGAAUCUGCCCCUAGUAAAUCUAAGAAAAGUCAGAGGAAAGGUAAGGCGUCAUCUGGCUCACAAACUUCAGACUCAAAAUCAGGUGCUAGAAAGGAUGAGGACAGCCUUGGCGCUAUUUCUGAAGAAUGGGUAAUUCAGAAGAUCACAUCUCUCAAUCCGGACUUUGAAGAACAAGGUCUAGAUGACCCGGAGAUGAUAUUUUUGCCUUUAGCAAGACAUCUGAGACCUUUGCUUGUCAAUUCAUGGAAGGAACGAAGAAAGGCUGCUUUUACUGAAAAUACCCAAAAAAUAAAGAAGCUACUUGAUAAUUUGCAAAAGAAACUUGAUGAGUCAUUUUUAAACAUGCAGCUUUAUGAAAAAGCCCUCGAUUUGUUUGAAGAUGAUCAAUCAACUUCUACUCUUCUACACAAGCAUCUAUUGCGAACAACAGGAACCUCAAUGGUUGAUACUUUGUUGCUUAACUUGGAUAUGCUCGAUAAACUGAAAAAUGGAGUUCUGACUGAGCCUCAAACUCCCGAGUCCAUUUCACUUGCUCCUGGAGAUAGAAUUACUCUGGCUAAGAGCUUGCCAGGUCUACUGUCGGCCAAGGCUAUUGCAACAGCUGAAGCUUUAGAAGGGAAGAGAGUGGAACCCUUUAUGUCAGCACUGAGAGAACUUGCUGAGGAAAGUGGAUUAGCAUUGAAGAAGCUUGACAAGAAAUUGGAAAGAACCCUUUUGCAUUCAUAUCGCAAGGAUUUGACAUCUCAAGUUUCUGCUGAAACGGAUCCAGUUUCCCUCUUACCGCAAGUUGUAUCUCUGCUUUAUGUACAGGUUCAUGGAAAAGCUCUUCAGGCUCCUGGUAGGGCCAUUUCAGCUGCUCUCUCUCGGUUGAAGGAUAAACUGGAUGACUCAGCAUUCAAGACUUUGGUUGAUUACCAGAGUGGAACAGUGAGCGUGUUGGCUCUAAUGGCUGCUGCAACUGGCGAUGAGGAAGAUUGUACAUCUGACAGAAUUUUGAGCAAAAGGGAAGUGUUAGAGGAAUUGAUGCCUGCAUUGAAAGGAUUAGUGCUGGGUACCUGACAGACACGACUUUGGAUAGAUUCAACUUCAGGUGUAUCGCAAGACACACACAUUUCAUCCACCUUCAUGCCGUAUGAUAAUAAGAGGUCCUUAGUUACCAGAAAAUCAAGCUUUCAUAUUCUCACAACAAAAAUUCCUUUGAGGCUCUUGAAUCAAAGGCUCACUCGCAACAAGGGACCUGCUCACUCACAAAUUUUGUUUCAUGUUCUUGUUGUAUUUGAGUCCUUGUUUUGUGAUUACAAAUGUUUCCUACAGUUUAUUAUUAGUAGGUGUCUUGUUUCAGUUCUUGAACUUAGUGUUGUCAUCUAGAGUUAGGUGAUAUUGAGCUAGAGUUAGCUUGUUGAUUCAGUUAGAUUUAGUUGGGUUUUGGUGCAGUAGAGUUAUUGCACGUUUCUCUUUGUAGUAGAGCUAUUACUAGGAGAAAAGAUUUAGAGUUUUAAUCCUUGAUGUCAUGAAAUCUGUAUUCAAGGUUGCGUGAGUAUUAGUGGAGCUUCGGAAAUUCUAAAGACAUAUCGUGAUUUUUCUCCCUUAAGUUCCAAAGUAGGAGGGCAACUAGCCGAUUUCUUCAUUUGGUAUCAGAGCAAGAUUUUUCUAAAAGGUUAACACCUGGGAAGGAUCUUUGAUAAUGACAACUCCUACAAACCUUGAAGAAGGGCAUUCCACUACUCAACCACCCGGUUCAACAGACAAUACUAUGGGUGGUGAAAAACAUGAAUGGAUGACUUUAUCAUGGCUGAAGCUUGUAAGUUGUGGAACGUGAUUGAAGAUGGUCCUUUUGUUCCUACCAAGCCUAUUAAAGAUGAUGAAGUAACUUAAAAUGUUCUCAAAACUAAGAAGGAGUUUGACGAUGUUGACAGGAGAAAGAUUGAGAAAAAUUUUAUGGAAAAGAAGCUUUUUGUAUGUGGUAUAGGUCCUGAUAAGUACAAUAGGAUCUCAUCAUGUGAGACCGCUAAAGAAAUCUGGGAUUGUUUGCAAACAACACAUGAGGGAACUAGCCGAGUAAAGGAGUCAGAGGUUGACAUGUUAACUACUCAAUACGAAGCAUUUAGCAUGACGGAAGGAGAGUCAAUCCACACCAAGUUUACUGCCAUAACAAAUGAACUCCACUAUUUGGGUGAAGACAUCCGACCUUCCAAACAGGUUCGUAAGAUUCGCAGCAUCCUACCAAAGUCAUGGGGAUCUGAAAACUAUGACUAUGGAUGAGCUAAUAGGAAAUCUCAAGACGUAUGAGAUUAAGAGGCAAUAAGACAAGUCCAAAGGUGAGCAUAAAAAGGAGAAAAAUCUAGUGUGGAAGGCCACAAAGGAGGAUACCAAUAUUGAGGAUGAGGAAACAACUUACAUCACCAAAUAGCUCCUCAAAGUCAUGAGAAGAACUGAGGCACUUCCUAGAAAAGGAGAAUCCAGCAGAUACAAUAAGGAUGACAGAGCAAAUAAUACCUAUCACAAGUGUGAAAAACUGGGUCAUUAUAUCAAAGAUUGUCCUCCGCAUAAGGUAGAAUACAAAAAAUAUGUUAAGCAGGCUGGUGAAAGAAAAAAAAGGAUCAGGUCCCAGACAAGUACAAUAGAAAGGUUGAAGCUGACAAAGUAGUGAAACGGGUCCUAGCUGCCUGGAGUGACUUCUAUCGCGCCCUAUUUCGAACCGAUCGAAACAACAUGCAAUAUGUGGUGGCUAAUGUCGUGACUCUUGGGUUUUGAAAAUUCAUUUUUUAGAGUCGCCCCCUAACUUUUUAGAAAAAUAAAAUUAGGAAAAACUAUUUUUUAUGUAAAAUUUUGUUUUGAGCUAUCGACAACAUUUUGAGAUUCUGAGUAAGAGUUUUGGUUACUGAGGGGAACGUGUUAAGCACCCCUCCAAACCUAUCCGAAGAUAGUCCUUACACUUAGUUUAGGAAAGAUAUUUGAAAAAAGAAUUUUAUUUUGUUAUUUGCUAAAA